UCGCCUCACCUCCCGUAGGGUCCAUCAGAGGAGGCGUAACUUCGGCUCUCUUCUCAGUGGAGCUGCACAACCAAGGAGUAAACUCAGAAGAUCAUAAAGUGUUAUGUGCCAGGCGAGCAGACAUGAUACACACACUCAGGCAAGUACGUGAAUGCAAGCCACCAUUUCUGUAGCCUGUGGGUGCAAUAGAAUUAAACAGCGAGAGAAAGACGACCCCCUUCUGUUUGAGCGCGCCUCUGCUCAAAACAACCACGAGCUACCAGUCUGACGAAGCUCUACAUGAGCACAUCCGUGUACAUCAGCAUAUCACAUCUCUUCUCUCCUCUUCUAUGAGUUUUUCUCCUCCUUCCUCGCAGUAGGUAUUGCUGCGCUCAGUCCUCCACAGGCACGAUGUUUGGUUACUACUGUGCUCAUGGAGACGCUCUGAUAAACCCGCUAUCAUCUCGUUGACGACUGACGUUUGUUAGCUCCAGCUGUGUGGAGCGGAGCGUGUUGAGCGUGUUUGAGCCCUUCGUCUCGUCGGAGCUUUGACGUGUUACGACACUCACUGACCGAAAUACAGUAACAUCCAGAUGUGAACUGCUUAGUGGGUUGCUGACACUGCUGUUCCGGCUGAGAACUCCACUUGACUCCUAGCACAGUUGUCGGAUGUGAAAUGGCCUCUGGACAGGUGUGACUGUGAGGCAUCAUGGGAGCUCGAGUUUUGAGCACAGCGUGGAGAGAAAAGCAGGAAGAAAAGUAGAGUGAAUAAAAAUCCAAAUGAGGUAGAUGACAGGGAGGGAGAGGAAAGACCAGCAGUGGAGGAAACACUGAAGUAAAACUAGCAAUACUGCAAAUGCUCUUAUACUUUGUAAAUGUAAUGCAGGGUAGUUUCACAUAAAACAAUAUGGCGUGUAACACGUCUCCUGUCUAAGCGGUCAGUCAUUGGCUGUAGACUCUAGUGAGGGCAAAGAAGCUCCUGAGUAACUUGUAUUUGCACUUUGUUAUUUAACAUCUCUGCAAUUUUGUGCUUAAGACUGUCAGA